GGCCCGUUGGUCAAGCGGUUAAGACACCGCCCUUUCACGGCGGUAUCACGGGUUCGAAUCCCGUACGGGUCAUCA
rnacentral:tRNA from 2 species